AUUAUGUAUUUUCAGUACUGGAAGUGAAUAUCGGAAGCUAUAAUCUAACCUUAUCUGACGAAGUGGACUUGCAAAUCGGAACAGAACGUGGAAAGAGGAGUUGCGCGUUCUUUAGAACCAUCAAGAGAAAGAAAGCUAUUUAAGAAAUGGGUGAACGUUACAACAUUCACAGUCAAUUGGAACAUCUGCAGUCGAAAUAUAUUGGCACAGGGCACGCAGAUACGACCAAGUUUGAAUGGCUUGUGAAUCAGCAUCGUGAUUCCUGCAGUUCGUAUAUGGGCCAUUACGAUUUACUGAACUUCUUUGCGAUCGCUGAGAACGAGGCCAAGGCACGUGUCAGGUUCAAUCUUAUGGAGAAGAUGUUACAACCUUGCGGACCGCCGCCUGAGAAACCAGAAGAUUAAAUCAAAAAUUAAAAAACUACGAUGCCUGCCUCAUGCUCCACAAAUUGUGGAAAAAACGCUAUUCUAAAGAGACCAAAAACUGGUGAUACAUUGUGCAAAGACUGUUUCUUCUUAGCAUUUGAAACAGAGAUUCAUGACACUAUUAUCAAUG